rnacentral:tRNA from 1 species
GGUUGGGUGGCCGAGAGGCUUAAGGCACCUGUUUCGAAAACAGACGGAGGUCACACUCCCGGGGGUUCGAAUCCCUCCCCAACCG